rnacentral:rRNA from 1 species
AGUGAACGCUGGCGGUAGGCCUAACACAUGCAAGUCGAACGGCAGCACAGUAAGAGCUUGCUCUUACGGGUGGCGAGUGGCGGACGGGCGAGGAAUACAUCGGAAUCUACUUUUUCGUGGGGGAUAACGUAGGGAAACUUACGCUACUACCGCAUACGACUUACGGGUGAAAGCAGGGGAUCUUCGUACCUUUCCCGAUUCAUUGACCCUAUGUCGGAUUACCUAGUUGGCGGGGUAAAGGCCAACCAAGGCGACGAUCCGUAGCUGGUAUGAGAGGAUGAUCAGCCACACUGGAACUGAGACACGGUCCAGACUCCUACGGGAGGCAGCAGUGGGGAAUAUUGGACAAUGGGCGCAAGCCUGAUCCAGCCAUAACGCGUGGGUGAAGAAGGCCUUCGGGUUGUAAAGCCCUUUUGUUGGGAAAGAAAAGCAGAAGGUUAAUACCCCGCUGUUCUGACGGUACCCAAAGAAUAAGCACCGGCUAACUUCGUG